GAUGAAGAACGCAGCGAAAUGCGAUAAGUAGUGUGAAUCGCAGAAUUCAGUGAAUCAUCGAAUCUUUGAACGCACAUUGCGCCCUCUGGUAUUCCGGGGGGCAUGCCUGUUCGAGCGUCAUUAUAACCACUCAAGCUCUCGCUUGGUAUUGGGGUUCGCGGUUUCGCGGCCCCUAAAAUCAGUGGCGGUGCCUGUCGGCUCUACGCGUAGUAAUACUCCUCGCGAUUGAGUCCGGUAGGUCUACUUGCCAGCAACCCCUAAUUUUUUUUAAGGUUGACCUCGGAUCAGGUAGGGAUACCCGCUGAACUUAAGCAUAUCAAUAAGCGGAGGA
rnacentral:misc_RNA from 1 species